GAUGAACGCUGGCGGCGUGCUUAACACAUGCAAGUCGAACGGAAAGGCCUCUGCUUGCAGGGGUACUCGAGUGGCGAACGGGUGAGUAACACGUGGGUGAUCUGCCCUGCACUUCGGGAUAAGCCUGGGAAACUGGGUCUAAUACCGGAUAGGACAAUGGUUUGGAUGCUGUUGUGGAAAGUUUUUCGGUGUGGGAUGAGCUCGCGGCCUAUCAGCUUGUUGGUGGGGUAAUGGCCUACCAAGGCGUCGACGGGUAGCCGGCCUGAGAGGGUGUACGGCCACAUUGGGACUGAGAUACGGCCCAGACUCCUACGGGAGGCAGCAGUGGGGAAGAUUGCACAAUGGGCGCAAGCCUGAUGCAGCGACGCCGCGUGGGGGAUGACGGCCUUCGGGUUGUAAACUCCUUUCGCUAGGGACGAAGCGUUUUUGUGACGGUACCUGGAGAAGAAGCACCGGCUAACUACGUG
rnacentral:rRNA from 1 species